GGAGGUUAUCUGUCAUUUUGUUCGUGUGAAAUGAACGUUUAUUCCGGACAUUAUUUGAUUAACGCUUCACGGUUCAUACAAUCCGAAAGGAGCCUCAGCUCGUCACAGGAUAUUACGACAAAGUAAAGCAUCGUUUGAAGCUUGAACUGAACGAUGAUAACCAUUUUAUGAUACGUUAGUUUUUAAUAGUUUUCGUACUAUAAAUUUGUACUAUUAAACGAAUAAUUGGUCAGUCGGGUAUUAUAAUAUGAUUGCGUUACGAUGGCAGUUCCAGCUGUAGUAUUGGCAAACAAGGCGAUGAUCGAAGAAGUGAAAAUCAAAGACGCAUGUAUUGGUUACGAUAUCGAUGCGUUUAUUGAAAAAUUCAGACCAGAUAAAGCAAGUCCAAAGAUAAAUAUUCAUGCGCGAAAGAUACACCUCUUAUUCACAAUGAAAAUGUUUUUUGAAUUUUUAGAAAUAAUAAAAAUGAAAUUUUACCAAAUAUAUUGCACGUCAUCGGCAAUACACCUUUGGUGAAGUUAAAUCGAAUACCUCAAGCAGAGGGCAUUGAAUGCGAGAUUUUUAAUGGCAAAAUGUGAAUUCUAAAUCCCGGUGCUAGUACUAAGAGUAGAAUCGGAUGGAAAAUGGUUGAAGAUGCUGAA